rnacentral:rRNA from 1 species
AUUGAACGCUGGCGGCAGACCUAACACAUGCAAGUCGAGCGGAUGAAGGGAGCUUGCUCCUGGAUUCAGCGGCGGACGGGUGAGUAAUGCCUAGGAAUCUGCCUGGUAGUGGGGGAUAACGUCCGGAAACGGGCGCUAAUACCGCAUACGUCCUGAGGGAGAAAGUGGGGGAUCUUCGGACCUCACGCUAUCAGAUGAGCCUAGGUCGGAUUAGCUAGUUGGUGGGGUAAAGGCCUACCAAGGCGACGAUCCGUAACUGGUCUGAGAGGAUGAUCAGUCACACGGGAACUGAGACACGGUCCAGACUCCUACGGGAGGCAGCAGUGGGGAAUAUUGGACAAUGGGCGAAAGCCUGAUCCAGCCAUGCCGCGUGUGUGAAGAAGGUCUUCGGAUUGUAAAGCACUUUAAGUUGGGAGGAAGGGCAGUAAGUUAAUACCUUGCUGUUUUGACGUUACCAACAGAAUAAGCACCGGCUAACUUCGUG